rnacentral:rRNA from 1 species
CACGUAGGGUGCGAGCGUUGUCCGGAAUUAUUGGGCGUAAAGAGCUCGUAGGCGGUGUGUCGCGUCGGCCGUGAAAACCUGCAGCUUAACUGUGGGCGUGCGGUCGAUACGGGCAUCACUGGAGUUCGGCAGGGGGACUGGAAUUCCGUGGUGUAGCGGUGAAAUGCGCAGAUAUCAGGAGGAACACCGGUGGCGAAGGCGGGUCUCUGGGCCGAUACUGACGCUGGAGGAGCGAAAGCCGUGGGGAGCGAACAGG